AUGGCUCAGGACGAACGCUGGCGGCAUGCCUAACACAUGCAAGUCGAACGGGGGUAGCAAUACCCUAGUGGCGAACGGGUGAGUAACACAUAAGCAAUCUGCCCUUCACAGGGGGAUAACAGCGGGAAACUGCUGCUAAUACCGCAUAAGACCACGGUACCGCAUGGUACAGGGGUAAAAACGAAUCAGUGGUGAAGGAUGAGCUUAUGUCCCAUUAGCUAGUUGGUGAGAUAACAGCCCACCAAGGCGACGAUGGGUAGCCGACCUGAGAGGGUGAUCGGCCACACUGGAACUGAGACGCGGUCCAGACUCCUACGGGAGGCAGCAGUGGGGAAUAUUGGGCAAUGGAGGAAAACCUCUUACCCAGCAAUGCCGCGUGAGUGAAGAAGGUCUUCGGAUUGUAAAGCUCUUUGAUUGGGGACGAAGAAAGUGACGGUACCCAAAGAACAAGCCCCGGCUAACUACGUGCCAGCCGCUGC
rnacentral:rRNA from 1 species